AAAAAAACCUAAAGAAUUCCCCAAAAUCUGUUAGAACUAAUCACAAAUUUAGUAAACUUGCAGGAGACCAAAACAAUACACACAAAUCUGUUGAGUUUCUAUUUGGAAAUAAACUAUCGGAAAGAGAAAUCAAGAAAACAAUCCCAUUUACAGAAUAAAAUACCUAGGAAUAAAUUUAACCAAAGAGCUGAAAGACAUGCACUGAACCUAUGAGACAUUGAGGAAAGAAAUCGAAGAAUACACAAAUAAAUGGAAAGAUAUUCCAAGUUUAUUGAUUGGAAGAAUAAAUAUUACUAAAAUAGUCAUACAAAUUCAAUGCAAUCCCCAAGCCAUGGGUGCAGCCCUAAAAAGACCAAAAAAAACCUUCUAACUUUGGAGAUGAAGUAAUAUGACAUAGGCACAACUCCCAAACCAUGAGAAGUGCCAGAGUAUACCCUAGGCUGUGAUGAGAAUACUGGCAACAAUAGCUGGCAGUACUUUGGGUAUUUAGAGAAGUCUAAUCUGUAGAAGACAUACUUUAAUCCAGUCCAUUUUUCUUGAUUCUUCAAAAGAGAAACUUUUAGACAAAUGUUAGCCCUGAAAAUCUGGAAAUCACUUAAGCUAAAAAUCUUUCCUUGGUAAUUCUCCAACAAGGUUCUCAAAUACUUUGAGUCGUUUUUAUGACACUUAGGAAAGUAAAUUCCCCCAUGAUUAUGUUAUUGAUACUUUUGCCAUAUUUUAUCAAAUGCAGUUCUCUCCAGACACCACUCCAUUCUCCCAAGAUAUUUCAAGUAUUUUAUUUUUCCUGUGUUGAGAACUUUUAUGAAUUCUCAUCUGUUAUAAAAGAGUAAAUUUCUGACAGCAUCUUUUGAAAGUUAGAAUCUCAUCAGACUCUUUAGAUUUAGUUCCUGCCCAUAACUUAUUUACUUUAGAGCAAAGAGCUAAACCCUCUAAUCCUAACACAAAACAAAACAGCUGCAUUGUUUUUUAACUCCCUAACCAUCCCCCAAUUAGAUGGAAGGUGAGAGAUCACGGAGCCUAUGACCUGGGUGUUGGAAGAAGAGCAGCUAUGACCUGCCCUCACCCGACUGCCACCCUAUGUCAUAUGCAUAGCACACCUCCACCAGACCCUGCUCUUGUACCCACUGACAGCUCUCACCACCUGGGGGAGGGAGGAUUGUGGUCUCCCCACCCAGACCCCAUUCUGAAGGGGUCAGAAUUCCAGGAAGGCAUGCCCCCAUCCCCUUUUUAUCCUUGUUAAGGGUCCCUGGCCUGGAGAGGGACAGAUGGGAUGGGAGCCCUCUGCUGCCUGUCCUGCUGUGACCCGCAAUACAUGGACUCAUGUUCACCUGGGUCCCUCUGCUAGACUCCAAGCUAGAUGAGGACAGAUGCUGAUGGUCGCUCAUUCAGCAGAUGUCAGGUGCCUGCUGUGAGCCAAGGAUGUGCUAGGUGCUACAGAGAUGGUUAAACCAGACACGUUCCCUGCCACCAAAGUGUGACAACAGAUGGGUGUAACCCAAGGGGCAGUGUCCCCUCUUCAGAUGUCACAUUGUAUUACUUUUCAGCUAAGUUAUCCCACUCCACAUGCCCUUGUCCACCAGUCUGCAGAAGCAGAAAGACGCCAGUGCCCAGAGAGAGCAAUAGUCCAGGCUCUCCUCCAUCUGCAGAAGCUCCCGUAGGAGCCACUGUUAAAUGGUGCUGUUUGAUUAGGCUUCAAGUUGGGGUCUUGGCACAAUUAAGAGUCCUGAUGACUAUACUAUUGACAAAAUCACUGGUAUUUUAAAUUCUGAUAAAAAUGAGGGUACUGUUAGCUCUGGUUUACACCAAGAGCAUCCCCCUAGGAGCAGGCACAGGACUCCCACUUAUCUACCUCAUUGUUCCAGCUGCCUCAGUAUCUGCAUGUCUUCCACAAGGCUGUGAGCUACCCCACCUGAGACAGGAUUGGACCUGGGGCCAUUUGCUGCAGUGCUUGCAUUUGGACAAACAUCUCCUCCAGCAAUAAAAUACAAAGAAACUGGAAGGGACUAAAAAUAGCUGUGUGCAUGCACAGUUGGGGCAAAUUAUGGACAACAAGAUACAAAAAAGACCAAAAACCCAAAUGCCACCUCUGAGAAGCUUGUAACAAUAACAAGGUACUAUACACACUCCCUGCACACAAUACCAACAAAGGGGUGGGCAAACCACCCGAGCCAUUCCUCCAGCCUGAUCCACCCCUAAUGUCACCCUACACAGGGAACCAGCUCAUCCCCCUCAGUAAGUGAGCAAGUGAGGAAGGGAACCUAUUGCUUGUUUUUGCUCCCUCCUGCUGUGGUAGGAACCCCAAUAAAGCAUUGCCUGAAUUUCUUGUCUGCCUUUUAUCAAUUUCUAUUGAUUAAGAAGGCCACAAACCCUGGUUGGUAGCAGACUUUGUGGCACCCAGUGUGGGGUUGUUGUGCCCUUCCAGGGAGAGGAUUUGGGCACCUCUGGACCACUGAAUGCAGCUUCCCUGUGGGUGACAAGUGGCCCCCUGAAACCUAAGGCCCCUGAGAGCUUCAGUACUCUCAUUCAGGAGAUGAUUUCCCCCUCCCCUUUGUCCUUUUUCCCCACCUCUGAAUAUCUCUACUUCUCUUUUCUCUAUCGUCUCCUUCUUCUCUGUCCUAUCCUUCUGACAGAAUGGACACUGGGCAAUUAUAGCAUCAAACCUCUCAGCUCAUGAGACCACACUCUCUACGGCGGGCAAUGGCUCACCCUGAUGGGUGACAAGCAGAGGUGGGAGAGGCUUGUCUCACAGCAUGCAGAUCUUGUUCAGCAAGCUCUCCCUGAUGGGAGAUUUAUUAGAGUGAUAGAGAUUCAAACCUCAUAUUGUGUAGUGACUAGAAGCCUAGUUGUUCAGUAUGCUCACCUUUAUUACCUUGCUGUCUUUUUGUCUUUUUCAGUCUUUUUUGUCCCCUCUCUCUUUACCUCUCCCUUUAUCCUUAUACCUACACUCCUGGGCCCUUUAUCCUGAAAACUUGUUUGCGUCUUUAAAUUUUUGUCAUUGGUAUAUGUCAAGUCUUAGUGAAUUUAAAAUGAUCUUCAUCUUAUAUAGUUUUCUCUGUCCAACCCCUUCUGCAAAUCUCUGCCAACAUUGUGGGCAUAGUGGAGCACUUAAGCCUAAAAUGCAAACUCCUGGCUUGGAUUGCUCCAGACUUGGAUUGCUUAAGCCUAAAAUGCAAACUCCAGGACUUUAAAUAACAGAAGGAAACAAAAACAGGACAUUUUAUUUCUCUCCCCUGCCUUUAAAAUGAAACUAUUCUGCUUGGGCCCUCAGGAACUAUGAUCCACCUGUAGUUCCCUAGACUGAAGAGAAAAAGAAGGGAGAACUUUUGAAACUCAGGCACGAAAACUAUGAGAUCUUUGGUUUUAUCUGUGCUUACAUAAGAAUGAGCCAUAUUUAACUGGCUUAAAGGAAAUUGAAUGCUUAUAUACAUUCUCAGAAAUAUAAAAGAAACUUGCAGGAAUACAUUUAAGGUUCAUGUGAUCUGGGAAAUACUCAGUAUUGAAUUAAUAUCUGCUAUUAAAGCUAGCUUAACUUGUGGGUUUAAUUAAUAUGGACCUAUCUUUAAAGUCAUCAACAUUAAAUGUAAUACUUUUAGUGUACCUAUGGUUACUGAAAGUCAAUAAGUGCAUAUUAUUUGUUAUAAAAUUUGUCAACAAGGAAAAUAACCUGAUAUGAUUAAACUUUUAAGUAAAUGUAACUGAGAUAAGAGCUUUUUGGUAACUCUAUAGGAAUAAUUAUGUUUUGGAAAUGUUCAUCUAAAAUUAUUUCUCCACACUGCAGGCAAGAAGGGAGUGGUAAGAUAUAUUCAAAGUUCUGAAAGGGAAAAAUCUGCAACUUCAAAUACUCUACACAUUAAGAUUAUCAUUUAGAACAGGCGGAGAAAUAAAGAAUUUCUCAGACAAGCAAAAAACUAAAAGGAUACAAUAAUACUAAACCUAACCUAAAAGAAAUAUUAAAAUCUCUCUAAAAAGAAGCAAGAAGACAUAGGAAAGAGGAAAUCACAAUGGAAAGUAAUCACUUAAGCCAGUAUAUAGAUCAAAAAGGGGAAAAAACUAUUUGUGAAAGCAAUGAUAAACACAAGGAACAGCAAAAGGAUAAACAUGAAAGUGUAAAAAAGGACAUCAAAAUCAUAAAGUGAAAAAAAAAAAAAA
ensembl:lncRNA